GUUGAAACUCAAAUUAAUCCCUACUAGGGAUUGAAAC
rnacentral:other from 1 species